rnacentral:tRNA from 1 species
GGGAAUAUAGCUCAGUGGUAGAGCAUUCGACUUCAGAUCGAGAGGUCCCUGGUUCGAACCCGGGUGUCCCCU